rnacentral:lncRNA from 1 species
UCCGCUGGGGAAGCCUGGUUUUACGGGAAGCCUGGUAGGAGGUCAGUCGGUGAUGGACUUUGGAUAGCACUGGGGAGGCUCGGCAGACAUCGGGGGUGAUCGGCCACUGCAGGGACCCAACUGCUGGAGCUCAUCCGUCAUAGAAGCUCGUUCGAAAUCCAUCUGCUGGAGAAGUUCGGACGGGAUCCGAUUCUCGCGAGAGG